rnacentral:lncRNA from 1 species
UUGACUCCUAAUUGUCUCUGGUUAAUUUAUAAUUAAUUUCCAAAGUCGGAACAGGAAAUCCAGAAACCGUUCUGGCCCUGUCUCACGAGAACCUGAAUAUCUCUUAACAUACUGUCCGUAUGAUUGUUUUGUUACUUUCUUAUGAAAAUAGAUUCAUCAAGGUUCGUUUACAUAAUUUAUUCACUAUUUAAUUCCAUUCCUACUAUUUUUAGUGAUUUUCCAAAUCUACAUCACUGCUGCUGUCAGCAUCUGCC